GCCUCGAAGUUGUCCAGCAGCGGGCGGAAGAAGCCGACGAGCCGACGAGCGACGACUGCUCGGGGUCGGGGAACCGGGAGGGAGACCCGCCGUCGCGCGGCGGCCGGCCGGUCGGGGCGGCUGUAGGUGAGCUAGGGGCCUGGGGUCUGGGGAGGAGCCGAGGAGGGCACGCGACUGAAUCGAGUCAGUUCGACUGAUCCUGCUCGAGUGCUUGGCUGGGCUUAAGGACAUCAAUAAUGAAGAGAUUUUUCAAAUCAAUUUCUUUGAGUAGCCAAUCUACGGGGGAGAGUGGAAUAGGUGAUGCAAAAAAUGAAGCAAUAAUGCCCACUCCUGCACCUCCUCCUAGACCUCCUUCACCUAUUGUUGUAACAUGGCCCCUCUUCUGCAGCUGCUCGGACAGAAUUCAGAGGUUCAUAUUUUUAUGUUGCCUUUUGUGGGGAAUUAAGAUGUUCGCUUCAUUAUUGAGAACAUGGCUACUCAAGGGACUAGAAGUGCGGAGGCCUCAGACGCCGCAUCAAAGUAUGAUCCAAAGACUGAUCCAAAGCGGAAGCCAGAAAGGUCAAAUGAUCCUGGAUGGAAAUAUGCAUUUUGGCCGACUAUUGAUGAUAGAGAUCUCUUGCAGUGUUGUUUGUGUGAUAGAACUGUAACUGGAGGAAUUAUAAGGCUCAAGGAGCAUCUUGUGGGUGGUUAUGGAGAUAUUCUGAAGUGUGGCAAAACCACACCAGCUAUCGCUCGAGAGAUGCAAGCUGCUUUGAAGGGCAAGAAGAGACCACUUCUGCUUGAUGAUGAAGGAGGGCUUCAAGGAGAAGAUGAUGAUGUGAUUGAUGUGACAGAGGAGUCCCAAGAUGUUUCUAGAAGCAUUGUGCAUCCUAGUUCAAGGACAACUGCCAAAAGGAAACAAUCUACCUUUUUGAAGUUUAGUGCACCAAAAGAGCCCAACACAAAGUCAGUCGGUUCAAUGCUUAGGAGAACUCCAAAAGAGGUUAUGGAAGAAAGACAUUUGAAGGGUCCUUAGAUCAGUAUCCAAGCUAGCAUGAGGAUAAAAGAAGAAAGAGAUGCUGUCAACUUGGAGUAGGUCAGGUUCUUUUAUGAGUGUGGCAUACCAUUCAAUGCCGCAAAUUCUAGGCAAUUUGAGAUUGCUAUAGAGGUCACUGCACAAUAUGGUUGUAGGUACAAGCCUCCUACCUACCAUGAGCUUAAGGAGUCAUUGCUCGAGAAGGUUGUUAAGGAGACAGAUGAUUUGAGGAAGAGCCAUGAGGAUGCAUGAAAGCAAUAUGGCUGCACAUUAAUGUCAGAUGGAUGGACGGAUAGGAGAGGGCACCAUUUGAUCAACUUCGGGGACUUUCUUCUUAGAGUCGAUUGAUGCAUCAAGUGAAGUUCAUGAUCAAGUGAUGCUAGCUGAUUUGUUAGAGAAGAGAAUAAGCGACAUUGGCGUAGAUAAAGUUGUGCAAGUUGUCACUGACAAUGGGGCUAACUAUAAGGCAACGGGCAAGCUUCUCAUGGAGAGGUUUCCUACGCUUUAUUGGACACCUUAUGCUGCACAUUGCUUGGAUCUUAUGUUGGAAGAUGUUGGAAGUUGAAGGCAUUCAAGAAGCCUAUCUCACGUGCCCGGCAUGUGACUACUUUCAUCUAUAGGCAUGGAAGACUUCUUAGUGCAAUGAGGGAGAAGACAGGUGGUAGGGAUCUUGUGAGACCAGCAGCAACUCGAUUUGCUACAACAUUUCUCACCUUGCAAAGUUUGCACAAGCACAGAGAUGCACUGAGAUAUCUGUUUACCUCUGAUGAUUGGACGAGUUGCAAACUAGCAAAGAGUUGCAAACUAGCAAAGACUGAGGCCGGAAAAAAAGUGUAUGAUAUUGUGCUUUCUAGGGAGUUUUGGAGCUCUGUUGAGGAUUGCCUUAGAGCUUCUCUACCACUUAUCAUUGUGUUGAGGGUGGUUGAUGGUGAUGAGAGGCCUGCCAUGCCAGAGGUUGCUUCUCUCAUGAAUCAUGCAAAAGAGAGGAUAAAUGUUGCCUUUUGUACUGAAAACAAGAGAAGCUUGCUCAAUAAGAUCUUACAAAUUAUUGAGGAUCGUUGGGAUAGGCAAAUGGACACCUCACUCUAUGGUGCUGCCCUUCUUUUGAACCCAGGAAAAUUCUAUGCCAUCCAAAAAUAGAAUGAUGAAUAUAUUGGGCACAUAAGGGGUUGUUUUAAUGAUGUGCUUGCACGAAUGGUGGAAGAUGAGACCCUUCGAAACAAAAUUGAAGAACAAUCCAUGCUCUACGAAGAUCAACAUGGAGGCAUCUUCAAGAAUUGCAUGGCCCUCCAAACUAUAAAGUCAAAGAACCCUCUUUAUUGGUGGCAUGCGUAUGGUGGCCGAUCCAUUGACCUACAAAGAUUUGCUAAGCGUAUUGUUAGUCUUUGUGCUUCAUCAUCUGGUUGUGAGCGUAAUUGGAGCACUUUUGAAUUUAUUCAUACAAAGAAGAGAAACCGGCUAGAGCAUAAAAGAUUGAAUGAUUUGGUUUAUGUUGCCUACAAUCGGAAAAUGACUAGUAGGUUCCAAAAACACCAUGAGGAAGCGGGUAAAAGCUCUGAUCCUUUGGUUAUGAAAGACUUUGAUUGGAAAAAUGAAUGGGUUGACCCAACGGCCCAACCUCAAUGUUCUAGUGUUUUGGACAUCACAUGGAACCAAGUUGAUGAAGCAAUUGGUGCAUCACAUGAGCUUCGAGGUCGUAACCUUCCUAGGACCUACGCUCGUCGUGCACGACAUAUAUCAAGAGUGGUUGAAGAUGAUGAGGAGGGAGGGAGAGGAAGAAGACAUCAUUGUGGAUGAUGUUGAUGUUGAUGAUUUUGGUGACAAACCAAUGGAUGCUACUGAAGAUAAUGUGGAGAAUGUGGAUGCUUCUAACGAUUUCGAUGAGUUUGCAUUGGAUGACUUUUGAUAGAUGAGAUAUUUGAAACUUUGAAUGAUGAGAAAAUGCUGUGUCUUUUGUGCUACAUUUACAUUGCUAUUUAUCUUUUGUGCUACAUUUACAUUUCCUAAUAUUCUAGACUAUAACUGUUGAGAUACAUUUACAUUGUCAUUUGCUAAUAUCUUAUACUAUAAUGUUUGCAUUCGCCACAUGUGUAUGGCGUUGCCACGCCACGCGCCAUGUCGCUGUAAAGUUGUGAAGGUGGUGGGUUGCCACGCCUCGCCACGCCGCCGUAACAACCUUGCUUCCGUCUUCAUAUCCCGCCAGAAAAGAAGAAAGGCGAACUGAAAUUCAAUCAUGAGAAAGGGGAUCAUUCCAUUUUGAACACACCCAUCUAUCUCAUCUGACCUCUCCGAAUUCCCUUCUCCCGCUUGGCGGGCUUGGUAUGAUAUGUUCGUGAUUCCCAUUAUCAAGAAUAGGGUUAAUUCUAAAUGCCUAUUUGGAUCUAAUCGUAUCUAUCAGAUUCCUUCAUUGCCUCAAAUUUCUAGGUCUCUGUACGGGGCUCGUACUACGGAAGAAGUCUGGGAGGAUUACCGAAAUUGGAUUUCCUAUGCUUGCUAGAUUGAUAAGCCAGAGAGGCUUAAUGCCUCUGAGAACUGUCAAGCUACCUCCACAGAAUCCAAACUGCAGGAGCUGGAGCUAUGCAUUCGAGAAAUGCUGGAGCACAUAAAGCAACCUCUCAGGAUUCCCAGUUGCUGAAUACAAGAAGGACCGAGUGGUUGGAACCUCAGGAAACCGAGGCUUCGCAAACUAAAGAUGUGGUUUACCAAGGGAGAGAGGGUGACAGUGUUCAGUUUUCUUGUUUGUUAUAAACUUGUAACUCCCUCCAUUUCACAAUAUAUGUCCUUUUACUUGGAGUCUCCUUCACAGUAUAAGUCCAUUCUGAUCUUUGUUCUGGGUGCUCUCUUGUAAAUAACUCUUUUGUACAUGACUUUAUUAUUAUGCCAUUUCAUUGGGGCAUGGAUGGUAAUUUAUCAUGAACUUUUU